rnacentral:rRNA from 1 species
GUGGUUAAGUUACUAAGGGCACACGGUGGAUGCCUUGGCGCUAGGAGCCGAAGAAGGACGCAGCGAACUGCGAUAAGCCUCGGGGAGCGGUAAGCACGCUUUGAUCCGGGGAUCUCCGAAUGGGGAAACCCACCAUCUGUAAUGGGAUGGUAUCCAUCACUGAAUACAUAGGUGAUGAGAAGGCAGACCCGGUGAACUGAAACAUCUAAGUAGCCGGAGGAAGAGAAAACAAUAGUGAUUCCGUCAGUAGUGGCGAGCGAACGCGGAAGAGCCUAAACCGUCGGGUUUACCCGGCGGGGUUGUGGGGCGUCUCACAUGGAGUUACAAAAGACGCGCGUAGGUGAACAGCUUGGGAAAGCUGACCAUAGAGCGUGAUAGUCGCGUAACCUAAACGCGCGUCUCUCCGAGACCAACCCCGAGUAGCGCGGGACACGUGAAAUCCCGUGUGAAUCUGGCAGGACCAUCUGCUAAGGCUAAAUACUACCUAGCGACCGAUAGU